AUCAACUUUCGAUGGUAGGAUAGAGGCCUACCAUGGUGGUAACGGGUAACGGGGUGUUAGGGCACGACACCGGAGAGGGAGCNGAGAAACGGCUACCACAUCCAAGGAUGGCAGCAGGCGCGCAAAUUACCCAAUCCCGACACGGGGAGGUAGUGACAAUAAAUAACAAUACGGGGUUCUUUAGAAUCUCGUAAUAGGAAUGAGUACAAUUUAAAUCUCUUAACGAGGAGCAAUUGGAGGGCAAGUCUGGUGCCAGCAGCCGCGGUAAUUCCAGCUCCAAUAGCGUAUAUUAAAGUUGUUGCAGUUAAAAAGCUCGUAGUUGAAUUUCGAGACCGGCUUACUGGUCGUGCUAUUGUACGUACUGGUAUAAUCGGUUUCUCCAUUCUGACGAACUAUAAUGCCAUUAAUUUGGUGUUAUAGGGAAUCAGGACUGUUACUUUGAAAAAAUUAGAGUGUUUAAAGCAGGUUCACGCUUGAAUACAUUAGCAUGGAAUAACGGAAUAGGACGUUUGAUUCUAUUUUGUUGGUUUCUAGGAUCGAUGUAAUGAUUAAUAGGGAUAGUUGGGGGCAUUAGUAUUCAAUUGUCAGAGGUGAAAUUCUUGGAUUUAUUGAAGACUAACUACUGCGAAAGCAUUUGUCAAGGAUGUUUUCAUUAAUCAAGAACGAAAGUUAGGAGAUCGAAGACGAUCAGAUACCGUCGUAGUCUUAACCAUAAACUAUGCCGACUAGGGAUCGGAUGAUGUUAAUUUUUUAAUGACUCAUUCGGCGCCUUACGGGAAACCAAAGUGUUUGGGUU
rnacentral:rRNA from 1 species